rnacentral:misc_RNA from 1 species
ACAUUACCCCUAUCCCAAACUGAUGUGGAAUAUUAACACACCCCAUUUACGCUCAGGAUGAACAACUAGAGUGUGAAACACUUAUAGAAGGCCCAACAUUGGUUGGGGAGGCUCUAAUACUGUAUUAAGAAAAUAAACCCAGCUUAACUCAUCUCUAAAAGCUAGCUUAAGGGGGGAGGAGUGUCCAAAGCUUUAUAAAGG